rfam:Nelumbo nucifera unplaced genomic scaffold scaffold00185, whole genome shotgun sequence
CACUAGGUGCCAUUAGGCACCACAUCAGUGGUUGAGUGAAUAAAUG